GUUAUAUGGUCAAGCGAAUAAGCGCACACGGUGGAUGCCUUGGCGGUCAGAGGCGAUGAAGGACGUGGCAGCCUGCGAAAAGUAUCGGGGAGCUGGCAACAAGCUUUGAUCCGGUAAUGUCCGAAUGGGGAAACCCACCCGCUUGCGGGUAUCCUGCAGUGAAUACAUAGCUGCUGGAAGCGAACCUGGUGAACUGAAAUAUCUAAGUAACCAGAGGAAAAGAAAUCAACCGAGAUUCCGUAAGUAGCGACGAGCGAACGCGGACUAGCCCUUAAGCUGGAUUGGUUCUAGGAAAACGCUCUGGAAAGAGCGGCCAUAGAAGGUGAUAGCCCUGUAUCUGAAAGGGCCAUUCCAGUGAAGACGAGUAGGGCGGGGCACGUGAAACCCUGUCUGAACAUGGGGGGACCAUCCUCCAAGGCUAAAUACUACUGACCGACCGAUAGUGAACCAGUACCGUGAGGGAAAGGCGAAAAGAACCCCGGAGAGGGGAGUGAAAUAGAACCUGAAACCGUGUGCGUACAAGCAGUAGGAGCUCCGCAAGGAGUGACUGCGUACCUUUUGUAUAAUGGGUCAGCGACUUACUGUUCGUGGCAAGCUUAACCGUAUAGGGGAGGCGAAGGGAAACCGAGUCUGAUAAGGGCGCAUAGUCGCGGGCAGUAGACCCGAAACCGGGUGAUCUAGUCAUGCCCAGGGUGAAGGUGCGGUAACACGCACUGGAGGCCCGAACCCACUCCCGUUGCAAAGGUAGGGGAUGAGGUGUGAUUAGGAGUGAAAAGCUAAUCGAACCCGGAGAUAGCUGGUUCUCCUCGAAAGCUAUUUAGGUAGCGCCUCAUAUGUAUCCUCUCGGGGGUAGAGCACUGUUAUGGCUAGGGGGUCAUCGCGACUUACCAAACCAUUGCAAACUCCGAAUACCGAGACGGACUGUAUGGGAGACACACGGCGGGUGCUAACGUCCGUCGUGAAAAGGGAAACAACCCAGACCCACAGCUAAGGUCCCAAAUUUUGUGCUAAGUGGAAAACCAUGUGGAAAGGCACAGACAGCCAGGAGGUUGGCUUAGAAGCAGCCACCCUUUAAAGAAAGCGUAAUAGCUCACUGGUCGAGUCGGUCUGCGGGGAAGAUUUAACGGGGCUAAGCACAGAACCGAAGCUUGGGGUGCAUAACUUUGUUAUGCGCGGUAGAGGAGCGUUCCGUAAGCCGUUGAAGGUGGAUUGAGAAGUCUGCUGGAGGUAUCGGAAGUGCGAAUGCUGACAUGAGUAACGAUAAUGCGGGUGAAAAACCCGCACGCCGAAAGCCCAAGGUUUCCUUGCGCAACGUUAAUCGGCGCAGGGUGAGUCGGCCCCUAAGGCGAGGACGAAAGUCGUAGUCGAUGGGAAGCAGGUUAAUAUUCCUGCACCUCGCGUAAGUGCGAUGGAGGGACGGAGAAGGUUAGGUGUACCAGGCGUUGGUUGUCCUGGGGAAAGGCGGUAGGUUUGGAUCUUUGGCAAAUCCGGGAUCCUCUAAGACCGAGCACCGAGACGAGCCUUUAUGGCAAAGUCACUGAUACCACGCUUCCAGGAAAAGCUCCUAAGCUUCAGCUUACGCAGACCGUACCGUAAACCGACACAGGUGGGUAGGAUGAGAAUUCUCAGGCGCUUGAGAGAACUCGGGUGAAGGAACUAGGCAACAUGGCACCGUAACUUCGGGAGAAGGUGCACCCUUUUUGGUGGCUCGUGCGAGCUAUAGCUGAAGAGGGUCGCAGUAACCAGGCCGCUGCGACUGUUUAUCAAAAACACAGCACUCUGCAAACACGAAAGUGGACGUAUAGGGUGUGACGCCUGCCCGGUGCUGGAAGGUUAAUUGAUGGGGUCAGCCGCAAGGCGAAGCUCUUGAUCGAAGCCCCAGUAAACGGCGGCCGUAACUAUAACGGUCCUAAGGUAGCGAAAUUCCUUGUCGGGUAAGUUCCGACCUGCACGAAUGGCGUAACGACAGCGGCGCUGUCUCCACCCGAGACUCAGUGAAAUUGAAAUCGCUGUGAAGAUGCAGCGUUCCCGUGGCAAGACGGAAAGACCCCGUGAACCUUUACUAUAGCUUUACACUGAACGUUGAGUUCGUCUGUGUAGGAUAGGUGGGAGGCUAUGAAACCAUGGCGCUAGCUGUGGCGGAGCCAUCCUUGAAAUACCACCCUGUCGUGCUUGACGUUCUAACCUGGGCCCAUUAUCUGGGUCGGGGACCGUGUAUGGUGGGUAGUUUGACUGGGGCGGUCUCCUCCUAAAGAGUAACGGAGGAGCUCGAAGGUACGCUCAGCGCGGUCGGACAUCGCGCACUGUGUGCAAAGGCAUAAGCGUGCUUGACUGCAAGAUCGACGGAUCAAGCAGGUAGGAAACUAGGACUUAGUGAUCCGGUGGUUCUGUAUGGAAGGGCCAUCGCUCAACGGAUAAAAGGUACUCCGGGGAUAACAGGCUGAUACCGCCCAAGAGUUCAUAUCGACGGCGGUGUUUGGCACCUCGAUGUCGGCUCAUCACAUCCUGGGGCUGUAGUCGGUCCCAAGGGUAUGGCUGUUCGCCAUUUAAAGUGGUACGCGAGCUGGGUUCAGAACGUCGUGAGACAGUUCGGUCCCUAUCUGCCAUGGGCGUUGGAGAUUUGAGAGGGGCUGCUCCUAGUACGAGAGGACCGGAGUGGACGAACCUCUGGUGUUCCGGUUGUCACGCCAGUGGCAUUGCCGGGUAGCUAUGUUCGGAAGCGAUAACCGCUGAAAGCAUCUAAGCGGGAAGCGCGCCUCAAGAUGAGAUCUCCCGGGGCACAAGCCCCCUGAAGGAACCAUGUAGACUACGUGGUUGAUAGGUCAGGUGUGUAAGUACAGCAAUGUAUUGAGCUAACUGAUACUAAUGAUCCGUGCGGCUUGACCAUAUAACCU
rnacentral:rRNA from 1 species